rnacentral:rRNA from 1 species
CCUACGGGCGGCAGCAGUGAGGAAUAUUGGUCAAUGGGCGAGAGCCUGAACCAGCCAAGUCGCGUGAAGGAUGACGGCCCUACGGGUUGUAAACUUCUUUUGUCAGGGAGCAAUUGGGUCCACGCGUGGGCUUAGCGAGAGUACCUGAAGAAAAAGCAUCGGCUAACUCCGUGCCAGCAGCCGCGGUAAUACGGAGGAUGCGAGCGUUAUCCGGAUUUAUUGGGUUUAAAGGGUGCGUAGGCGGAAUAUCAAGUCAGCGGUAAAAAUUCGGGGCUCAACCCUGUCGAGCCGUCGGAACUGGCAGCCUUGAGUGGGCGAGAAGUAUGCGGAAUGCGUGGGGUAGCGGUGAAAUGCAUAGAUAUCACGCAGAACGCCGAUUGCGAAGGCAACAUACCGGCGCCCGACUGACGCUGAGGCACGAAAGCGUGGGGAUCGAACAGGAUUAGAUACCCCAGUAGUC